rnacentral:rRNA from 1 species
ACUUAAAUUGAAGAGUUUGAUCAUGGCUCAGAUUGAACGCUGGCGGCAGGCCUAACACAUGCAAGUCGAGCGGUAGCACAGAGAGCUUGCUCUCGGGUGACGAGCGGCGGACGGGUGAGUAAUGUCUGGGAAACUGCCUGAUGGAGGGGGAUAACUACUGGAAACGGUAGCUAAUACCGCAUAACGUCGCAAGACCAAAGUGGGGGACCUUCGGGCCUCAUGCCAUCAGAUGUGCCCAGAUGGGAUUAGCUAGUAGGUGGGGUAACGGCUCACCUAGGCGACGAUCCCUAGCUGGUCUGAGAGGAUGACCAGCCACACUGGAACUGAGACACGGUCCAGACUCCUACGGGAGGCAGCAGUGGGGAAUAUUGCACAAUGGGCGCAAGCCUGAUGCAGCCAUGCCGCGUGUGUGAAGAAGGCCUUCGGGUUGUAAAGCACUUUCAGCGGGGAGGAAGGCGUUAAGGUUAAUAACCUUGGCGAUUGACGUUACCCGCAGAAGAAGCACCGGCUAACUCCGUGCCAGCAGCCGCGGUAAUACGGAGGGUGCAAGCGUUAAUCGGAAUUACUGGGCGUAAAGCGCACGCAGGCGGUCUGUCAAGUCGGAUGUGAAAUCCCCGG